rnacentral:rRNA from 1 species
CCUACGGGGGGCAGCAGUGAGGAAUAUUGGUCAAUGGGCGUAAGCCUGAACCAGCCAAGUCGCGUGAGGGAUGAAGGUUCUAUGGAUCGUAAACCUCUUUUAUAAGGGAAUAAAGUGUGGGACGUGUCCUAUUUUGUAUGUACCUUAUGAAUAAGGAUAGGCUAACUCCGUGCCAGCAGCCGCGGUAAUACGGAGGAUCCGAGAGUUAUCCGGAUUUAUUGGGUUUAAAGGGUGCGUAGGCGGCCUUUUAAGUCAGCGGUGAAAGUCUGUGGCUCAACCAUAGAAUGGCAGUUGAAACUGGGGGGCUUGAGUAUGUUUGAGGCAGGCGGAAUGCGUGGUGUAGCGGUGAAAUGCUUAGAUAUCACGAAGAACCCCGAUUGCGAAGGCAGCCUGCCAAGCCAUGACUGACGCUGAUGUACGAAAGCGUGGGGAUCAAACAGGAUUAGAUACCCGAGUAGUC